ensembl:snoRNA
UACUUCCAACUCGAGGAUAGCAUCAUGCAAUAAGAAAAGUAUGAAAGAGGUACCCAUUCCGUUCCCAGCUUGAUCAGUAGCUGGAGAAUGGAAGACAAAGUGUAAAAAAA